CCAUGUUGUUGGCCGCUGUGCUGUGUCCAUCCACGGCGAUUCUUCCCACAGAGUUCUGAAGCAAAAGGCUUACAAUUAAAGGAAUAAAACAUUUAAAGAUAAUUCGAGAGUACCAUGGACAAAGCGUGUGGGUCGCUUAGACUCCAGCAGUAACUCCUGAUCUGCAGUUCCCAGGGGUGUCCAGUAAGGAGAACGUCACUACAGCGGUUUUAAAGAAGCGUCAGGAGGAGAUGCGGCCCCUGAACAUCGACGAGGUGGAAGCACCAGAGGAGGUGCAGGUGCUGGAGCCCGAGGAGGAUUUCGAGCGGUUCCUGCUCCAGGUCAUCAACGAGAUGCGCGAGGACAUCGCGUCUCUUAUACGCGAGCCCGGGCCCGCGUACCUGCGGACCAGGAGCAAGCUGUGGGAGAUGAACAAUAUCCUCAUCUAGAUCAAAACGCAGGUGGAGGCCUCGGAGGAGAGUGCCCUCAACCACGUGCAGCACCUGAGUGGCGAAGCCGACGAGAGAGUGUCGGAGUUGCGCGAGAAGGCCAAGGAGAAGGCCAAGGAGAUCGCGAAGAUGGCAGAGAUGCUGGUCGAGCUCAUUUGGCGAAUAGAGAGAAGUUCACAGUUGAGGACUAUAGUCAACUGGUAAGGAUGAACUAACACAUUGAGGAAACUGAAACAGCUUAUCAUCUUCUCUGUUUUGUUUUUGUAUGUUUUUUACCCCCAUGUAAUAGUCUCCCUUAUGGUCCGUGAUUGAUAACCUUGAUAUGGGUUUACAUCAUCAAAUGUAUUUGGUUCUGGAA